CCUGGCUCAGGACGAACGCUGGCGGCGUGCUUAACACAUGCAAGUCGAACGAUGAACUCCAGCUUGCUGGGGGGAUUAGUGGCGAACGGGUGAGUAACACGUGAGUAACCUGCCCUGGACUCUGGGAUAACCCCGAGAAAUCGGAGCUAAUACCGGAUAGGACCUUGAACCGCAUGGUUUGGGGUGGAAAGUUUUUCGGUCUGGGAUGGACUCGCGGCCUAUCAGCUUGUUGGUGAGGUAAUGGCUCACCAAGGCGUCGACGGGUAGCCGGCCUGAGAGGGUGACCGGCCACACUGGGACUGAGACACGGCCCAGACUCCUACGGGAGGCAGCAGUGGGGAAUAUUGCACAAUGGGCGCAAGCCUGAUGCAGCAACGCCGCGUGCGGGAUGACGGCCUUCGGGUUGUAAACCGCUUUUAGUAAGGAAGAAGGGAAGCGCAAGCUUUUUGACGGUACUUGCAGAAAAAGGACCGGCUAA
rnacentral:rRNA from 1 species